GACGAACGCUGGCGGCGCGCCUAACACAUGCAAGUCGAACGGAGCUGCGAGAAGCUUGCUUUUCUUAGCUUAGUGGCGAACGGGUGAGUAACGCGUGAGUAACCUGCCCUGGAGUGGGGGACAACAGUUGGAAACGACUGCUAAUACCGCAUAAGCCCACGCUCCGGCAUCGGGUUGAGGGAAAAGGAUUUAUUCGCUUCAGGAUGGACUCGCGUCCAAUUAGCUAGUUGGUGAGGUAACGGCCCACCAAGGCGACGAUUGGUAGCCGGACUGAUAGGUUGAACGGCCACAUUGGGACUGAGACACGGCCCAGACUCCGACGGGAGGCAGCAGUGGGGGAUAUUGCACAAUGGGGGAAACCCUGAUGCAGCGACGCCGCGUGGAGGAAGAAGGUGUUCGGAUUGUAAACUCCUGUCGUUAGGGACGAUAAUGACGGUACCUAACAAGAAAGCACCGGCUAACUACGUG
rnacentral:rRNA from 1 species